rnacentral:rRNA from 1 species
UAGGGAAUAUCGGCAAUGGGCGCAAGCCUGACCCAGCCAUGCCGCGUGCAGGAUGAAGGCGCUCAGCGUUGUAAACUGCUUUUAUCAGGGAAGAAAAGUAGUCCUGCGGGAUUAUGUGACGGUACCUGAGGAAUAAGCACCGGCUAACUCCGUGCCAGCAGCCGCGGUAAUACGGAGGGUGCAAGCGUUGUCCGGAUUUAUUGGGUUUAAAGGGUGCGUAGGUGGUUUUCUAAGUCUGGUUUGAAAGCUGGUGGCUUAACCAUCAGAUGUGGCUGGAAACUGGAGGACUUGAAUGCGUUGGCGGUAGCCGGAACGGGUCAUGUAGCGGUGAAAUGCAUAGAUAUGACCCAGAACACCGAUUGCGAAGGCAGGCUACUACGACGUGAUUGACACUGAGGCACGAGAGCAUGGGUAGCGAACAG